AAAAAAACAUUUGUCCUCAAAUGUUAAAACAACAUAUAACAUAUAGGCAAAGAAACAUGCAAGCAUGCAAAACUUAAAACUCAGCCUUGCUUCCUACUUCCAUAAGCUUCUGCUACGCUACUCUGAUCUUUCUUUUCUUCUCCUUCUUUGCUUUUACCUUUUUCCUUUCUGCCUUUUCUGCUCUUACUCCUUUCUGUUCUCCUCUUUCUUCCUACUCUUACUUACUUAUUCUUUUCUUCUUUUCUUUUUUUUUUCUACUCUUUCUUUCUUUCUCUAUUCUUACUCUUUCUUUGUACUUAUCGAAGCUCUGCUCUAACCUUUUACUUACCUGAACCUGAAUCCCUGGUCUAUCCUGCUUUUCCCACACAUCACUGGAACAUUCCAGGGUGAGGUACUAGGUCAGAUAAACCAUCGUCUACUAGCUGCCUUACAGCACUACUCAUCCACUUCUCUUAUACCUCUUACCUCUCAAAAACUCUUAGAACUUAGACCAACACAUCAAAGUUCACAACAUAUGAGUGUAUCCGAGGGUGAACAUACCUAACCCCAUUAGGUUUGAUGUGUCAGUCUCCUGUUGAGUCCAAGUGAAGAUCCGUAUCGGAGCUGACGGAUUCGCUCCAGGAAAACCUACCAAAGAAGAAGGUACGCCUCUCUCUCCACCUAGAUUACUACCUUGAUCCACAGCCGGAACUGCUGGCUGAGCUGCUUCUCCUGAAACUGUUUGCUGUGGCCGUGCCCUGUUACGCACAGUAGGACACUCACGUGCAAAGUGCCCUUCUUGUUUACACCGAUAACAAGCAGUUGUCCGCGCUAGACACGUUCCUCCAUGCGAUCUUCCACAUCUCGUACAUCUUAUAGGGCCUGAACCAGAGGCAUCCAGACUAGCCUUCAGCCUCUGCCAAAACUUACCCUUCUUUGACCUUCUCCGACCUCUGGUCUUCUUCUUUCCUCUUGUGGCUGCUGUGCUCAGAGUGGAGGGCUCAACUUCUCCUGUGCUUGAGUUUUUGGACUCCUUGG
rnacentral:lncRNA from 1 species